GUGGAAUCCCGCACCCCGCCCUCCCUCCCUCGCUGACCUUGUCCUCUGCGAGCCAACGCCUCUGGGUCAGUCCUCCCGACAAGGGAGCUGAGGGCCAGAGAGAGAAGGGAGCUGCCUGAGGUCCCCCUGCCAUUCGGCCAGGCCCUUGACCCCGGUGCUUGCCGUCGCCUGGCCUGCGCCUCCACACCUCGGAGCCGCGACCCCCGUGGUGUCUGCUGCCGGAGAUGCCCUCACUUGUUUCUCUGAGAGGCAAACUCCUAUUCAUCCUUCAAAAUCCAGCUAAACGUGACUGCCUCUGGACAGCCUUCGCCAGCCCUCUCCGGUAUGGACGGCUGCCAGCACCUGGCCAGGCCAGAUUAGAGACGGACUGAGGCGGGGGUGUGCCUCCCUCCUGGCUGUAUCCUCCAAUCUUAUGCCAAGCGGCAGAGCACCUGCUCAGUAAAUGCUUGUUGAACGAC